rnacentral:rRNA from 1 species
AGUCACUGACAUUAGAUACCCGUGUAGUCCCAGCCGUAAACUAUGCUCGCUAGGUGUCAGGCAUGGCGCGACCGUGUCUGGUGCCGCAGGGAAGCCGUGAAGCGAGCCACCUGGGAAGUACGGCCGCAAGGCUGAAACUUAAGGAAUUGGCGGGGGAGCACAACAACGGGUGGAGCCUGCGGUUUAAUUGGACUCAACGCCGGACAACUCACCGGGGACGACAGCAAUAUGUAGGCCAGGCUGAAGACCUUGCCUGAAUCGCUG